GCCCUCUGGGUCCAACCUCCCACCCGUGUUUAUUUUACCUUUGUUGCUUCGGCGGGCCCGCCUUUACUGGCCGCCGGGGGGCUCACGCCCCCGGGCCCGCGCCCGCCGAAGACACCCUCGAACUCUGUCUGAAGAUUGAAGUCUGAGUGAAAAUAUAAAUUAUUUAAAACUUUCAACAACGGAUCUCUUGGUUCCGGCAUCGGAUGAAGAACGCAGCGAAAUGCGAUACGUAAUGUGAAUUGCAAAUUCAGUGAAUCAUCGAGUCUUUGAACGCACAUUGCGCCCCCUGGUAUUCCGGGGGGCAUGCCUGUCCGAGCGUCAUUGCUGCCCUCAAGCCCGGCUUGUGUGUUGGGCCCCGUCCUCCGAUUUCCGGGGGACGGGCCCGAAAGGCAGCGGCGGCACCGCGUCCGGUCCUCGAGCGUAUGGGGCUUGUCACCCGCUCCGUAGGCCCGGCCGGCGCUGCCGAUCAACCCAAAUUUUUAUCCAGGUGACCUCGGAUCAGGUA
rnacentral:rRNA from 1 species